rnacentral:rRNA from 1 species
AGGACGAACGCUGGCGGCGUGCUUAACACAUGCAAGUCGAACGAGGUGCUUCGGCACUUAGUGGCGAACGGGUGAGUAACACGUGAGCAACCUGCCCUUGGCUCUGGGAUAGCCUCCGGAAACGGGGAUUAAUACCGGACAUGACCUGCUCCUGCAUGGGGGCGGGUGGAAAGUUUUUCGGCCAGGGAGGGGCUCGCGGCCUAUCAGCUUGUUGGGGGGUAACGGCCCACCAAGGCGACGACGGGUAGCCGGCCUGAGAGGGCGACCGGCCACACUGGGGACUGAGACACGGCCCAGACUCCUACGGGAGGCAGCAGUGGGGAAUAUUGCACAAUGGGGGAAACCCUGAUGCAGCGACGCCGCGUGCGGGAUGAAGGCCUUCGGGUUGUAAACCGCUUUCAGCAGGGCGAAUUCAGACGGUACCUGCAGAGAAGCGCCGGCUAACUACGCGCCAGCAGCCGC